rnacentral:rRNA from 1 species
CCUACGGGAGGCAGCAGUGAGGAAUAUUGGUCAAUGGCCGUAAGGCUGAACCAGCCAAGUCGCGUGAAGGAAGAAGGAUCUAUGGUUUGUAAACUUCUUUUAUAGGGGAAUAAAGGUAUCCACGUGUGGAUAUUUGUAUGUACCCUAUGAAUAAGCAUCGGCUAACUCCGUGCCAGCAGCCGCGGUAAUACGGAGGAUGCGAGCGUUAUCCGGAUUUAUUGGGUUUAAAGGGUGCGUAGGUUGUUUGUUAAGUCAGUGGUGAAAGUUUGAGGCUCAACCAUAAAAUUGCCGUUGAAACUGGAAGGCUUGAGUGUAUUUGAGGUAGGCGGAAUGCGUGGUGUAGCGGUGAAAUGCUUAGAUAUCACGAAGAACUCCGAUUGCGAAGGCAGCUUACUAAGCCAUAACUGACACUGAGGCACGAAAGCGUGGGGAUCAAACAGGAUUAGAUACCCUGGUAGUC